rnacentral:rRNA from 1 species
AUUGAACGCUGGCGGCAGGCCUAACACAUGCAAGUCGAACGAGUGGCGGACGGGUGAGUAAUGUCUGGAAAAUGGCUGAAGGAAGGGGAUAACUACUGGAAACGGUAGCUAAUACCUCAUAGCAUACGAUUUGCCCCGAUGGGAUUGGCUAGUUGGUGGGGUAACGGCUAACCAAGGCGACGAUCCCUAGCUGGUCUGGGAGGAUGACCAGCCAAACUGGAACUGAGACACGGUCCAGACUCCUACGGGAGGCAGCAGUGGGGAAUAUUGCACAAUGGGCGCAAGCCUGAUGCAGCCAUGCCGCGUGUAUGAAGAAGGCCUUCGGGUUGUAAAGUACUUUCAGCGGGGAGGCGUUACCCGCAGAAGAAGCACCGGCUAACUCCGUGCCAGCAGCCGCGGUAAUAC